GGAUAAGUGUAACUAAACCCAUCUACAUACACAGAGACCUAACCUGCAGAGACAGGGUGACACCCCAGUCUAAAGAACCCAAACCCUGCCAACCAAACUGAGGGGCAGAUGAAGAACUGAUCAGAAAACACUCAUUAAGGAAAUGAAGAUUGCAGGCCUCCUAAUCUGAUGAGCAAAGGGGUCAAGACCAGGCUGAGGAUGAACUUCUUUUGAAGAGGACAAUCUUCUACAUCAACGAGUUUGGAUUUCAGGACUAGUUUGCUCAUGUGCAGAUAAACCAUUACCAGCCUAACAAGACCACUCUGGUUUGCAGCUGUAAUUCUUGUCUGGAGAGCUUACCUUCAACCAUAUCCUGUUCAAAUGACUCCAGAGGAACACCAUCAGCCCCAGCACCAAGACUGAGGGGCAACCCAUUAGAGUCUGCAUUCUUGUUGGCUGCAGCAGAAUCUUAAGAAAAGGAUUCAGGACAGCUUCAAGAGCCAAGGAAAUAAAAGGAGACAUUUCUUCAGAUUUCUGAAACAAAGGUAGACUUGCCUCUUUGCCAGUAACAUGAGGGGACUCAAAGAUGGAAACUGCUAUCACCAUCAAGCCAUGAGACUUGAGAUGGAUCUUGAGUAUGCUAAAAGGCUGAGCAUAGAGCUGGCAUGGUACUCUGUGUGAAUGACUUCGUUUGAGUCCUGAAGCCAGUGCUGCUCCUGAUUUUCAGUGAUGUGACCCUUCCCCCAAUUCCUUUCAUGUCAAAGCCAGUUUGGGUGGACAUAUUCUGUCAUUUAGACAGGAGUCUAAACUGACUUAGAGCCGGCAGUCUUGGGCACAGGCAGAGAAAAGGCUGUUGAUACCGACCCAUGUGGCCCUUGAACAGAUUCACUUCCUAGUCAGAGUCAGUGCAAUUCAAAGCUGGUCCACCUUGCUGGCCUCAGGAAUUGCCACAGUCCCCAAACCUAGCACCUGACAUAACCUCACAGGUUACAUUUCCCCACCACUCGGGCUUUUAGGCCAAUUCUCUUCCUCUGAACUGUUCUCUAGGAAAGGCUUAGUUAAUUCACUCACCCUAAAGAAUGCAUGACUCAUCUUAAGUGUUAAAAUAUGUGCAUUUCAAAGGGACACAAAGUAUACAAUAGUGAAUGUAUUUCUAGUGGUGGGCUUUUGUUGGCACUAGAGAAAAUGUGAAAUUUUUCAAGUUGUUCUUGUUCAUAGCAUUUUUAAAAGCCCUUUUCAUUGCGGACAAAUGGGUUUUUCUGUGCCUAUAUAAUGCCACCAUACUGUACUUUUACAAUCAGUAAUGAGUAUAACUACCCACACGGGGCUUCACAGCCUGUCCUACUUCUAUGUAGAAAAAGUACCUUCAGAAACAUGAAGGGAAAAUUGCCAUGCCAAUAGUAAUCAAACAUGUAUAUGCUUCAUAUCAUAGGCAUUGCUCUAAGUACUUACAUAUAACAUCUAAUCAAAUCUUCAGCAUCAGUACUCUGCAAAGUAGCCAUAUUAUGAGGCUUAUGUUAAAGUUGAGGAACUUGAGGUGCAGAGAAAUUAAAUAACCUAAUCAAGGUAGCACUGUGACCAAGCUAAAGAAAACAGCCAAUCUCAAAUCCCUCAGAAUCACUGAGGUAGUGACCAAGCUCAAAUCCCUCAGAAGCACUGAGGUAGUGACCAAGCUCAAAUCUCUCAGAAUCACUGAAGUAGUGACCAAGCUCAAAUCCCUCAGAAUCACUGAGGUAGUGACCAAGCUCAAAUCCCUCAGAAGCAGUGAGGUAGUGACCAAGCUCAAAUCCCUCAGAAGCACUAGGUUAGACAUGUCUUUAGUUUUCCUUGAUUCCCAAGAUGCCUAAUGAAAGCAUUGUUUUAGAAUCAUAAUGUUUGGAAGCCAAUUGAAGUACCUGGUACAUCAUAAAAAUGAGGCGAAGGGAUUAAGGGGACAGUGCUGUUUGUAAAAUGAUUGCCAUCUAAGCUGAGGCUUUGAGUUUAGAUUUCAUGUGGAAUGUCGGGUGUGGCAGCACACAUCUGAAAUCCCAGCUGUGGGGAGGUGGAGACAGGAACAUUCCUAGGAUUUGCUAGCCAGCCAGUAGGGCUGAAUUCAUAAACUCCAGCUUUAGUGAAAGAACCUGUCUCAAAAAUUAAAGAAUAGUACAAGUGAGAAUGACAUUUGAUGUCAAGCUCUGAUUUCCACAUGCACACAUGUACAUAUAUACUUUUACACAGUGCACAUGCAGGACAGGCACACAUGUGUGUAUACGCUCUUACACGGAGCACACGCAGGACAUGCACAUAUGUACAUAUAUGAUCUUACACAGGACAUACACACAUGUACAUAUUUUCUUCUUCCCUUCUUUCCCUUUCCCCAACCCUUUCUCUCUCUCUCAACCUAGAUUUUGUUUUUUUUCUAUUUUUUUGUGGAAAAUACUGAUAAUGUCUAAAUCUUAAAAGUAGACAUGUAAGACCAUAAAAGCUCUUCACUGUCAAAGAAACAAUGGUGUUGGGAAAAAUACCAAAAACAAUUUUGUAAUCCAAUCAGCCACUAAUAAGCCAACUCUUCUGGGUGUAGCACAAAGACUUCACAGAGAAGAAACUGUAGAAGCUGUCAUAGGAAGUCAGUGUAGGAAAGGGUCCUUUGGGUAUGGCAAGGAUGAGAACACAAGUAAGGACACGUGUGGGAGACGUACAGGGAAGAGGCUGAAGAACUUCGAGCCUGGAAGUGAGACUGGGAUGACAGUCCAUGAUUUGGAGAAGUGUCUCCCAAAGGCCUGUGUGUUGAAUGCAUGGUCCCCAGACCACAACAUUACUGGGAGGGGAUAUAACCUCUAAUAGAUAGGAUCUAGUGGGAGGAAUUUCAGUAAUGGGAACAUGUCCUUGAAGAGGAUGUUAAGACCCUGGCCCCUUUUGCUCUCUUUGCCUGGCUGCCUCGAUAUGAGCAAUCUCUUCUGCCACAUGUUCCUGCCGUGAUAGACUAGCUAAGCAUAGACCCAAGUACAACACGAUAAAGUGAUUGUAAACAGCAACCUCCAAAAUCAUGAGACAGCAGCAGCACAAGAGAAACAAACUUUUCCUUCAUUACAAAUUGAUUAUGUCUUUUCACAGAGAUGGAAAGCUGACUAACAUGGAUGGGCAAAUAGGGACAUGAGAACUUAUUAUGCCAAGCUAAGGAAUAAUUUUUUUCUUUGUUUUGUUCAUGGCUGUUCUUCAUCAGUUUGAACUAGAAGUAAUAUUUAUGCUGGGUGGUGUUGGCACACACCUUUAAUCCCAGCACUCGGGAGGCAGAGGCAGGCCGAUCUCUGUGAGUUUGGGGCCAGCCUGGUCUACAGAGUGAGUUCUAGGACAGCCAGGGCUACACAGAAAAACCCUGUCUUGAAAAACAAAAAGAAAAAAGAAAGAAAAGCUUUAUAAACUCUACGGUGUUAGAUCUGGGUGGUUUAGAGCAGUUUUAGGUCCACAGCAGAAUAGAGGGGAAGGUAUGGAGGGCUCCGAUAUACUUCUUGCCCUCACGUAUAUAUAUCCUCCCUCAAGUUUGCUUGGGUCCUGGAAGGAGGGGUUGGAGGGUGUGGAAGGAAAAUGGAAGAGUUCCAGGGAGGCAGGUUUAGAAGCCAGUAGCAUCAGUCAGAGCAGAGCUCUCUGCGCAGCAGCAGAGUGGGGGCCAGAGGAUCAGGUACAUGAAGAGAUAAUAUUUGGAAAGGAGACUAACAAGGCAUCGAGCAUGAAUGAGAAGGAAAAGGCAAUUCAGCCUUUCUGGCCUUUGAGCUGGGAGACCGGUCAGGUAGUAAAGAUUCCUACUUCUUUUCUGCAAUUGGAGACAAGUGUGGAAGCUCACAUCUGUAAUCCCAGUUUUGUGAGAAUGGAUGAUCACCAGUUCUAGAAUGGCUUGGACUAUGAGUAAGAGAAUGUCCCAAGCCAAUCAAACAGAAAAGCAAAGAAUAACAGCAAUACAAAUCAGGGAUGUAGCUUGGUUGGUGGGUAGAGAGCUUGGUUAGCAUACACAAAGCUCUGCGGUAAAGCCCUAGUAAUGUAUAAACCAAGUGUGGUGGUGCUGUAACCCCAGCACUCAGGAGGUGAAGGGAGGGUCAAUAGUUCCAGGUCAUUCUUUGUCCAAGACCAGCUGGGAUGCUGGAGACCUUGCCUCAAAUCACAACAGCAACAACAAACUCAACAGUGAUAGUAAGCACCUACAGCAGAUGAAAUAGAAAGCUAAAGUCCCACCCCAUACCCAGCACUCCUCCCCAGGGCACAGUUAUCAAAGACACUCUGACACAUUUCUUCAGUUUUUGCUAUCCUCAUACUGAACUCAGUUGAUUUUCCAAACCCCAAAAGCACUUAGUUUGUAAAAACACCUCGUAGAGGCCUUGCACUUUUUAGAGAGGAUGUUUCCAGUUCACCACGUGCUUCAUGUCUCACUGGGUAAAGUUUCACGAGACCAAAAUAUUGCUACACAGUGCCCAAGUGUAAGGUGUGAGUAAUUAAAUUGAUAAAUCUUCUUUAUUGUCCCUUCUCCAAGAAUAUAGGUACAUUCAAACCCCAAAGUGAAAAAUAAAAUAUAUUCUCUUUGGUAUUCAAUGCCCUGGAAAUGCCAUCAGGCUUGUGUUUGUAUGUAUAUCAACUUGUAGUUGGGGAGUUAGUUACAGAAACUGUACUCUCUUGUGGUCUAGAUAAUAUCACUUCUGCAAAUUAAAAAUAAGGAAUAUGUUACAGGGACAUGAAGAGACAACACUGAUUGCAUGUGAAGUCAUGGUUGAACAGCAUCCUCUCUACCAUGCACUUGUGUUUAUACACACACCCCACAUACACACAAUAAAAGCCAAUACAAAUUUCAGAGAAAAGAGGCAUGCUUUUUUAUGGCACUACAAUAAAUUGUGAUGCUCACAGUAAUUUGUGAUAUACCUCCAGAGAAUUCACUGGUUGGGAGUGAUUACCACUAACUACAAUACAAUAAAAUUCUAACUCUUUUGCAGAAAAAAAGAAGCUUGUAUCAAAAGAUACAAAACAUCAUGAAAGAGUGGCACUUUGGACAAAAAAUUGUUAAAAUUUUAAGUCUUAUGUUUAAUACUUUUUAGCUUCAAGUAAAAAUAAAUUAUUUAAUAUGUAGCAAGUGCUAAUUGUCGGCCAGUGGUUUUCUUAAAACAUCCUUAAUAGUACAACUUUCCAGAGAGGCAUUUCUAUAGUUCAAAAAGUAAUUCUAGCAUGAAUAGGAAGUAUUAUACAAGGAAUAACUAACAUUAUUAAAUAUUCAUUAUAUACCAGGCACUCCUUCAAAAUGUUCCCUCUUUACAAUCCUACGAUAAGACCCCAUGCUGGUUACUAAUAUUGGUUGCCAGUCUGAUGGGCUCUGGAGUCAACUAAGAUGCAGGCUCCUUGGCACAUCUGUGAAGGAUUUUCUUGAUUAGGUUAACUGAAGUCGUACAAACCACCUUAAGUAUGAGUGGCAGCAUCUAAGAAGGUGUGGGAGCAAAGCUUUUGCUUCUCAACUGUUUGCUUUCCUGUUCUGCUGGUCCUCUGCCCAGCUGUUGCUGCUGCCACUGCAAAUGCUGCUAUUAUCCUUCACUGCUAUAGGAACCCAGCUUCUCGGACCUUCCAACAAGGAGUGAAGACAAAGGGCUCUCUAGGAGUUAUUUUGGGCCAUCCAGUGCCAGGGUGAAAGAGCUGCAGCAUCCAUUCUUGUAGAUUGAGAAUCUCUAUUCUCAACCUCUCUUUUGUGAAGAUACCAUUACUGGACUACCCAAGCCAUGCCAUGUUAGACAAUUGAAAACAUUCCCCUUUAAUAGGUACUGACUCUGUCAGUUCUGUUCCUCUAGAGAACCCUGAAUAUUUACCUUGUUUUCCCAUUUUCAACACAUGCAUUCCAGCUUCUAGUAUUGAGGAUUUUAUAUUCAAGGGCUACUUAACCAGGCUGUUACUUUAGGGUGUUGUGAAGAUUAAUGAAGUUGAUAAAAUAUUAGCUACAUGGACUAGAAACAAAAGGAAUAUUUAAAUGAUUAAAUUCAGAAUUGGAGGUGGACAUUUUGUUUUGAAACCAGGAAGUCUUACUGUGUUGUCCAAACUGGCCUAGAACUUCUGAAUUUGGGAGAUCCUCCUACCUCAACUUCCCUAGUUGCUACAAGCAUAUGCCAUCAUUCCUGCCUUAGAAAAGGGUAUAUUAAUGCAAAUUCUACAGAAAUAAAAAGUAUAACAGAGGAAAAUGAACAAUUGGAGGCCAACAAAGGGUAUUACUUAGAUGAAAUGGAAAAGUCCUUAAGAACACAAAACCUAUCAAGACUAAAUUUUAAAGAAAUCAAUAACUCAAACAGAUGUAUAAAAAGAAAAGAAAUUGAAAAAGUGAUAAAAUAACAAUCCGGAAAAGAAAAGCACUGCAGCAAGUUUGGCCAAAUAUUUAAAGAAACAAGAAUAAUCCUUCUCAAACUUUUCCAAAAUAACCAGAGGAAGGCUGCUUCUUAUGUUAUCCCAUGAAACAAUAGCCCCACACCAAACUCAGAAAGACACACCACCACAAGAAAAGAAAACUGCUGGGAUGUGGUGUUACAUGUCUAUAAUCCCAGAAGCUGGGGGACCAGUGCAGGAGGAUCAAAGUUUGUGGUCAGCUUGAGACAUAUAUUGAGACCUUGUUUCAAGGAACCCAGCUAAGGAUACACUUCAGAGGAGGGGUAUUCACUUAGCACGAGCAAGGUCCUGGAUUUUUUUUUCUCUUCUUUCUUUCUUUCUUUCUUUCUUUCUUUCUUUCUUUCUUUCUUUCUUUCUUCCUUCCUUCCUUCCUUCCUUCCUUCCUUUCUUUCUUUCUUUUCUUUUUUUUUGGGGGGGGGAUUUUUCCAGACAGGGUUUCUCUGUAUUGUUUUGGAGCCUGUGAUAGAACUCACUGUGUAGACUUGGCUGGCCUCAAACUCACAGAGAUUCACCUACUUCUGCCUCCCAAGUGCUGGGAUUAAAGGCAUGCGCCACCAAUGCCCUUCAGGUCCUGGAUCUUCAAUCCCCAGUAUCAAGAGGGAGG
ensembl:lncRNA